AGGCAAUGAUUUGGAAUAACUAAAUUUAUAAUUUACCUUCAAAAUUAAUAAUAAUAAUUAUUAUUAUUAUUAUUUUUAUUAUUAAUAAAUAAUAAUUAAUAAUAAUAAUAAUCUUUAUUAACCUUCAAAAAUAUACACACUCAGUAUCUGGAAGAGAGCUUCUCGGCAACUUAAGAUACAUGUGGUUCCCAGGUUAACUUUGUGUCCAGCCACGCCCCAAGAAGUUUGACAGCAUUGUUGAUGCUCAGUUGGUUCGCCCCAUUCCAAUCUCGAACCCCGAGGUCGGUCAACUGUAACCAUCAUGUCUGUCAUUACCUUGGCUUCAGGGUGACUGUCUGUCACAGUUGUAUCAAGAAUGUUUUGGAAUUUAACCUAUGGAGAGAUCAUUAAUGUGAAUUAAAAAAAGUGUUGGGUCUAAUACUGAUCUCUGAGGUUUAAUAGGGAGUCUAGACGAAUCCAAACCACUUUGGUUAGUAUACUGGUUUCUAUCAUUUAAGUAGCUACUAAUUAGUUGUAUAUCUACUAUUAUUAUGAAAGUUGUAGGCUUUUAGUUUUUUGAGCAAAAUCGAGUGCGAGAUGCAAUCAAAUGCCUUCGUCAGGUCGUAACACGAGGCAAAAGUGUGAUUUUUGCCCUCAAAACCAUCAAUUACCGUCUCGGUGAGGUUCAGAAGCGCAUCAGUGGUACUCAUAUUGUUCCUGAAACCAAAUUGACUUUUGCUAAAAAGAUUAUUACUCUCGAAAAAGACUGUGAUUUGUUGUUUUAGGAGUUUUUCAAAAACUUUAGACAAUACAGAGAGAUCGGACGAUAAUUGGAUGGGUUGUUCGCGUCACCCUUUUUGGGGAUAGGUAUUACCUUAGAUAAUUUAAGGCACUCGGGGAAAACUCGUUUAUCAAUACAAUUAUUUAUUAAUUUUGUAAGCGGUAUGGUUAUUAAGUUUUUAAUGUUUUUUUUUAUAAUCUUGGUGUUAAGGUCAUAUGCAUCUUUGCUAUUGGUAUUUUUUAAUGAGUCAAUCGCCAAUCUUACUUCAUUGAAGGUGGCAUGUCUAAAUUCAAAGCACUUUACAUUCUUAAUGGUUGUCCAGAUGCUUGGGUCAGUGUCAGAG